GCCUUCGUGGUGUAGUGGUCAGCACACUGAGCCGGUAUUUCAGAGGUCCGCGGUUCGAUCCCCGGCGAAGGCA
rfam:Stegodyphus mimosarum contig18489, whole genome shotgun sequence.